rnacentral:rRNA from 1 species
AUUGAACGCUGGCGGCAGGCCUAACACAUGCAAGUCGAGCGAGCGGCGGACGGGUGAGUAAUGUCUGGGAAACUGCCCGAUAGAGGGGGAUCACUACUGGAAACGGUGGCUAAUACCGCAUACUAUCGGAUGUGCCCAUAUGGGAUUAGCUCGUCGGUGGGGUAACGGCUCACCUAGGCGACGAUCCCUAGCUGGUCUGAGAGGAUGACCAGCCACACUGGAACCGAGACACGGCCCAGACUCCUACGGGAGGCAGCAGUGGGGAAUAUUGCACAAUGGGCGCAAGCCUGAUGCAGCCAUGCCGCGUGUAUGAAGAAGGCCUUCGGGUUGGAAAGUACUUUCAGCGGGGAGGCGUUACCCGCAGAAGAAGCACCGGCUAACUCCGUGCCAGCAGCCGCGGUAAUUC